rnacentral:misc_RNA from 1 species
ACAAACUUGGUCAUUUAGAGGAAGUAAAAGUCGUAACAAGGUUUCCGUAGGUGAACCUGCGGAAGGAUCAUUAGAAAAGGGGGGAAUAGUCUCCUUUUUUUAACACUUGUGAACUUGUAGUAUUUCUCUCCAUUCAUAUUAUGGAUGGAGAAAGUUAUAAACGAGAUUAAUGAGAUUUUUUAACACAAUAAAAGCAUAUCACAACUUUCAACAAUGGAUCUCUUGGCUCUUGCAUCGAUGAAGAACGCAGC